rnacentral:rRNA from 1 species
CCUACGGGGGACAGCAGUGAGGAAUAUUGGUCAAUGGACGAGAGUCUGAACCAGCCAAGUAGCGUGAAGGAUGACUGCCCUAUGGGUUGUAAACUUCUUUUAUAUGGGAGUAAAAUGUUCCACGUGUGGGAUUUUGUAUGUACCAUAUGAAUAAGGAUCGGCUAACUCCGUGCCAGCAGCCGCGGUAAUACGGAGGAUCCGAGCGUUAUCCGGAUUUAUUGGGUUUAAAGGGAGCGUAGGUGGAUUGUUAAGUCAGUUGUGAAAGUUGGCGGCUCAACCGUAAAAUUGCAGUUGAAACUGGCAGUCUUGAGUACAGUAGAGGUGGGCGGAAUGCGUGGUGUAGCGGUGAAAUGCUUAGAUAUCACGAAGAACUCCGAUUGCGAAGGCAGCUCACUGGACUGCAACUGACACUGAGGCUCGAAAGUGUGGGGAUCAAACAGGAUUAGAUACCCUUGUAGUC